GAGUGGCAGUGAGGAGGGGGCAGGCCAGCCUCUCAGUCCCCAUUCUGGGCAUCUGGAUAAGAUCAGAUGGCAAAGGAAGGGCAAGAGGGGAAAGGCGGGAGUUUGUCGUCCUUCCUGCUGUGGAAGGGGCAAAAUUUCAGACUGACCAACUAUUGUAAAUGCGAGCAGGCGAGAAGCUGUGCUCUGGAUGUGUCUUUUUGUAAAUAUACAUAAAAUUGUCGGAGAGUCAUUACUUCUUAUCGGGCUUGCUUGCCUGCCAGAGAUCAUUGCAGCUGAUAUAGGUGUCCUGAAAUUGAAAUUUCAGUGACAGCCUGGAAAAGGAAGCCAUGUCUGGAUAAAAAAUUAGGCUUCCAGGUGGAAAAAUCAAAAUUGGAAACAGAAUUGUUAGAUCCUAAAGUUAAGAAUUUGUCAAGAAUGUAUAACUUGCUGUUGAAAUGGAAUACACAAGAUGAAACGGUGAAAUCGGCUAUGAUUAAAUGGGCUCAAGAUGUUGGACAUAAUAUCAUGAUGGCUGAAUGGGAACAGUUAUGGACCGCUGGCAUGAAGUUUACAGCAUGUAAUGCCUUAAAAGAGAAUUUAAUGAAAAUGAUUUACUGGUGGUACAUAACACCAGUCAAGCUUGCAAAAAUUUAUCAUUUGCCUGAUAACAAAUGUUGGAAAUGUAAUGAAACUGAAGGUACAUUCUUUCACCUUUGGUGGACAUGCCCAAAGAUUAAGGCAUUCUGGGAGAUGAUCUAUAAUGAAAUGAAAAAGGUAUUUAAAUAUACCUUUCUGAAGAAACCAGAGGCCUUUCUCCUGGGCAUGGUCGGCCAAUUGGUGCCAAAGAAGGAUAGAACUUUCUUUAUGUAUGCCACAACAGCAGCAAGAAUACUUAUUGCAAAGCACUGGAAGACACAAGAUCUACCCAUUAGGGAAGAAUGGCAGAUGAAGCUGAUGGACUAUAUGGAACUGGCGGAAAUGACUGGCAGAAUCCAAGACCAGGGAGAAGAGUUGGUGGAAGAAGAUUGGAAAAAAAUUAAAGUAUAUUUACAAAAACAUUGCAAAAUUAAGGAAUGUUAGAAGGAUGUUGGAAUGAAGUUGUAUGGUUUUAGCAGAAAUGUAAUAAAGAAUUAAGUAAAAAUUGAUUGAUAAUGGGCUAAAAUGAAAAAAAUUAAAGGUUAGACCGUUAAGAUAAAUUAUAGAACAAAAAUUGAGAAAGAUGGGAAGAACUUGCUGAAAUAGUUAAUUGAACUAGAAUACAAAAAGGGAGGCGUGAGGAGGUCGAUGAAACAAGUAAAUGAAAUGUAAAGGAUGUGUUUUAAUGAUUUUUCUUUUUUGCUGUAUUGUUGUAUUGUUUUCUUUUAUGUUUUUUUCUUUUUGUAUAUGUACUGUAAUGUAUGUUUUGUUAAUUUCUUAUUGUUUUUUCUUUUUCUGCUUUCUGUAAUUUUUAAAUUCUUAAUAAAUAUCGUUUUAAAAAAAAAGGAAAAGGAAGCCAUGUCAUUUCCACUUCCUUUCCAAAUUGUAGGAAGGGGGGUGGAUGCCUUCCCUGGUAUAAGGGACAAUGCAAAUAAUGGUGUUUCCAUGCCCUGAGCAGGCAAUGUUGUUUCAAUUUGCACUGUACUGGGAUGGCAGUAGCAUCUCAGUUGCCAGCUUGCCUUUACUAAAAAGGAAGAAAAACAGAAUGAUAGACUGCCCACAGGCCACUUCCCUGCCCAAUUAUAAGAUGCCUCCCAUGUCCUCCCCACAUUGCUAAAAAAAAGUCCAAUGAAAGAUUUGAAAACAUUGUAUUGAGUUGUAUAUUUUACGGGAGGUAGUUAUAUUUUGAGCUGUUUUCCAGCAAAGGCAGGAUGCAAAUCCGCCUAUCUCUCCUACAUAUGUGUGCAUGUCUGUGCAAAUUCUAUGCAAAUUGAUGUCUUCUUUUGGCAUCUUUUUUGGGAGUGCAUAUUCUCUUUUGGUAUGCAAGUUCAAAGGCAACUGAACAAUCUAUUUAAAAAUGUUUAACCAAUUUUAUCUACUUAUCCAUAUGUAAAGGGUCACAGACACAUAGAGAUGGUUCAAAGCAGAGGGCACCAAGAGGAAGCAAGUGAAUAUGCUACUUAACAAUUUUAAUGAUAUGAUCUGUUAAGAAUAGCAGCACUUAACACCGUUAACUAGCUCUGCUCAGGACAUGGUUGCAACAGCCACACAACAAUUUACAAGGCCUUAGUGUCCCAGCAAUAGAUAAUUUGGCACUAAGCAUGUCACCGCCUGCUUAAAAACAUUGAGUCAGAGGUGAUGCCACAAGUAGUUGUUGGUAUGCCUGUGGUGUCUGAUCUGUGUGGGCAGAUUCACACACUUAAUCACAAUUUGACACCUCAGUCGUUCCUGAUGCUGAUACUACAACCCCUCUCUUUCUUCAUAUUUCAGGAUCUCCCUGUGUUGGCAAAAGAUGGUCCAAUUGUAUUGCUUCCAAAACCAGUCACACAUGGUUGUGCAAACUCAACAGUGGCCAGCAAGAUGAUGCCGACAAAUCAGCCCAAGUUCAAAUUGCAAGGUGUAUAACUGGGAAAGAUAACAAAUCUCCACUUGGAUACAGACUGAGACUAAUUUUCAAAACUACUUUUUUUACAAAUAGACCAUCUCAACAUAUUAUCCCCCUCUUUACAUGAAAUUAAUUUACAAACAAACAUGGACACGGCUUGCCAAGAAAGAGUAUAUAUUAUAAGCAGUGCUAUUUUUCUAGAGAAAGAGGUGCCAGAACUAAGUUCAAGUGAGUUGCAGCUGAAGAAAAGCCUUGAUCUAGAGAAUGACAAGUAUCUAGAGAAUGACAAACAAGGCAGCCAUUAAAUUGAGAACAGAUGAUGGCUUGAAAUGUGCAGGUG